rnacentral:SRP_RNA from 1 species
GCCGGGCACGGUGGCGCGCGCCUGUAAUCCCAGUUUCUCGGGAGGCUGAGGCCGGUGGAUCGUGGAUUCCCGGGGGUUCGGGACUGCAGCUCUGCGUAGAGCGGGCGUCCGCACUGAGCCUGGCAUCAACAUGGGGCUCCCGGGGGAGCCCGGGGGGACCAGGUUGUCUAAGGAGGGGGGGACCCGGCCCAGGCCGGACACGGAGCAGGUCAAACUCCCCGUGCUGGGCGGCGGUGGGACCGCGCCUGCGAGCAGUGUCUGUAGUUCCGCCCGGACAUCCGACGAGACCCGGUCUCUU